GAGGUUGUGGCUCAGUGGUAGAGUGCUUGCCUCAUGUAUAUGAGGCACUGGGUUUGAUUCUCAGCACCACA
rnacentral:tRNA from 1 species